rnacentral:rRNA from 1 species
CAGUAGCCACGGUAAUACGUAGGUGGCAAGCGUUGUCCGGAAUUAUUGGGCGUAAAGCGCGCGCAGGCGGUUUCUUAAGUCUGAUGUGAAAGCCCCCGGCUUAACCGGGGAGGGUCAUUGGAAACUGGGAGACUUAGAGUGCAGAAGAGGAGAGUGGAAUUCCAUGUGUAGCGGUGAAAUGCGUAGAUAUAUGGAGGAACACCGGUGGCGAAAGCGGCUCUCUGGUCUGUAACUGACGCUGAGGCUCGAAAGCGUGGGGAGCGAACAGGAUUAGAUACCCCCGUAGUCCCUGUCUCUUAUA